UUGCGCUGUUGUUUUUCCAUAAUGAAGAAAGACUUUUAAACUGAAACAUAAACUUUAAUAUUUUCCUCUCCGCUGGUUUAAAGCGAGUCUUUGGUGUUAAAUUAUCGUUAGUUAACAGAAAAGACAACACAUUACAACUAGCUGAUAUGAUAUGAAUAUCAAAUAGAAGUGGAGGCUACAUGUCGUUUCGAUUAGCAACACUAGAGGUCGACAUGAGAACGUUUGUAUUGGCUUCCCAUCUAUCUAUCUAUCUAUCUAUCUAUCUAUCUAUCUAUCUAUCUAUCUAUCUAUCUAUCUAUCUAUCUAUCUAUCUAUCUAUCUAUCUAUCUAUCUAUCUAUCUAUCUAUCUAUCUAUCUAUCUAUCUAUCUAUCUAUCUAUCUAUCUAUCUAUCUAUCUAUCUUCUCCGUCUGUCUGUCCGUCCGUCCGUCCGUCGUGAAGUCAAUUUACCGUGUUCUAAAAAGACUACACUACCCACAAUGCCCUACAACUGUGACCAAAUGGAAUACAAAGUGGAGGAGCCUCAGUGACAGCUGAGCUAAGUUUGCCGACGGGAAACUUCAACCGAGUAAAUUCAGACGCCAAUCAAAGAAACAUUGUUUGAGAGUGACGCAACCAACCAACCAACCAACCAACCAACCAACCAACCAACCAACCAACCAACCAACCAACCAACCAACCAACCAACCAACCAACCAACCAACCAACCAACCAACCAACCAACCAACCAACCAACCAACCAACCAAAAAACCACCAUGCACUGCUAAUCAGUCGCUGUAUAUUCCUUUGGCCCCACCUCUGCCUUUCCUCACUUUUUCUCCCUCCUCUCACAGGACAUACACUUUGCAAAGCACAAACACUGACGGGCCAGCAAAACAGCUUCAGCAACAGCGAAGUCUGAACUUGAUUGGUUCACAUUAAACAAGACUGUGUCCCAACUGCACAGCCCAAAUAUAAGAGCACAUUGAGCUUCCCUCAUCAAAACAACAUUGUCCUGCUUACCUGUGUUCUCUCUGUGAGCCACCAGGGGACAGAGUUGGCUUUUACCUCAACCUUCUGUCAACCUGUCACACUGUUACCCUUGCUCUCUUUUCUACUGCUCUGCUUUCUCCU